rnacentral:rRNA from 1 species
ACGUAGGGGGCAAGCGUUGUUCGGAAUUAUUGGGCGUAAAGGGCAUGUAGGCGGUUCUGUAAGUCUGGCGUGAAAUGGUUCGGCUUAACCGGAUCCUGCGUCGGAAACUGCGGGACUAGAAUCACUGAGGGGAAAUCAGAAUUCCAGGUGUAGGGGUGAAAUCUGUAGAUAUCUGGAAGAAUACCGGUGGCGAAGGCGGAUUUCUGGCAGAUGAUUGACGCUGAGGUGCGAAAGUGCGGGGAGCAAACAGGAUUAGAUACCCUGGUAGUCCGCACGGUAAACGAUGUGCACUAGGUGUUGGGGCGGAUGUCUCAGUGCCGUAGUUAACGUGAUAAGUGCACCGCCUGGGGAGUAUGCCCGCAAGGGUG